GAUCAAAAUCUCAAAUAAUUUUCAGUAGAUCAGUUAAACUUCAAGAAUGAAGAUCAUCUAUCUGUUACUAGCUUUAAUAGCCCUCUGUGCUGCUCGAGUCCAUCAUCACAAAGGACACCGAGUUCACUUCCAAGCUUCUCACGAAUUUCAUGUAAAACCGUCAAAUUCAAAUGGUGGAUUAUCGCGUGAUUACGUAAAUCAAUACAGUGAAAAUCUGUGGCAAGCGAAAAAUUUCUUGGACAAGGACCAUGUUUAGAGUUAAUGAAUGCAAAUCACGAGCAUGACAACAUGCAUAUGCAUCAGAUGCAUCCUGAUCAUCAAAAUAUGAACCAUCUGAAUAAUCAACAGCAUCAGGCGUCCAAUCAUUGGUUCAACGUUCCUCAUUACGAUUACUAUGGACGUCAGCAUCAGUCAAAGCCUCAUUUUUAGCUUUGAGAUAAUCAUUCUUUUGUAAAAAAAAAUAAACAUUUGAAAGAAAACAAAAAAUGAUUAUAAAUUGAAUAAAAACUUUUAGAAAAGUC